CAUCAAUGGUCGCAAGAAUUAAUCGUCUCAUUGAUGCAUAUCCAAACAUUGAAUGUCUCCACAAAGUGCUUCCUGCUUGCAUUGCAAUUACAUAACUGCUGAAUUUGAACACAAAAAUAGAAUUCUGGGAACAUGCAACAGAACUGUGUUGUCUGUUACAGUUCAAGAACAAAUUGUUAAAAAGGCGUGCAAUGCAAACUAUAAGAGAUCUGAUUUUGUUCUGUGAACUUCCAUUAAGAUAAAUGUUUGUAAAAAUACUCUGUUUAUGCUUCGUAUGUUUCGGCAUUGACUGUGUGGAGGAAGUUGUAAAUAUGAUAGUCCAGAGCAAUACAUGUGUACAUUUGUACAGUUUUGUUAGUAGGUUUUAUCAAUAAAGCCAGUAUCUAUCAUGUAAAUAGAAAUAUUUCAUAGUGAAUGUUAAAGCCAAAAUGAAGAGACCAUGGGGUCUUGUUAUAUUGUAGUUUGAUGGUAGACAAUUGGGUUUUUAUACGAAAUCAGAAUGGAAAAUCCAUCAGUUAAUAGCAGACAGAUUGUAGAGGUUAUAUAAUAUAAUAUUAUAGAGUGACUCAUUAGAAAACUCUUAAAUCGGUGUAUAAUACAAAAUGCUGCCUCAUAAACCACACAUCAAUACUUGCUACAUAUGUUAUUGUGUUGUCAUGUAUCACUAUUCAACUAACAUCAAUUAUUUUAUUUUCAAAUUAUAUUAUAUACAUAUAUAAAUUUAUAUAAAUAUUUAUACUG
rnacentral:sRNA from 1 species